GAACGGGUGAGUAACACGUGGGUGAUCUGCCCUGCACUUUGGGAUAAGCCUGGGAAACUGGGUCUAAUACCGGAUAGGACCACGCGCUUCAUGGUGUGUGGUGGAAAGCUUUUGCGGUGUGGGAUGGGCCCGCGGCCUAUCAGCUUGUUGGUGGGGUAAUGGCCUACCAAGGCGACGACGGGUAGCCGGCCUGAGAGGGUGACCGGCCACACUGGGACUGAGAUACGGCCCAGACUCCUACGGGAGGCAGCAGUGGGGAAUAUUGCACAAUGGGCGCAAGCCUGAUGCAGCGACGCCGCGUGAGGGAUGACGGCCUUCGGGUUGUAAACCUCUUUCAAUAGGGACGAAGCGCAAGUGACGGUACCUAUAGAAGAAGCACCGGCCAACUACGUGCCAGCAGCCGCGGUAAUACGUAGGGUGCGAGCGUUGUCCGGAAUUACUGGGCGUAAAGAGCUCGUAGGUGGUUUGUCGCGUUGUUCGUGAAAACUCACAGCUUAACUGUGGGCGUGCGGGCGAUACGGGCAGACUAGAGUACUGCAGGGGAGACUGGAAUUCCUGGUGUAGCGGUGGAAUGCGCAGAUAUCAGGAGGAACACCGGUGGCGAAGGCGGGACUCUGGGCAGUAACUGACGCUGAGGAGCGAAAGCGUGGGGAGCGAACAGGAUUAGAUACCCUGGUAGUCCACGCCGUANACGGUGGGUACUAGGUGUGGGUUCCUUCCUUGGGAUCCGUGCCGUAGCUAACGCAUUAAGUACCCCGCCUGGNGAGUACGGCCGCAAGGCUAAAACUCAAAGGAANNNANGGGGGCCCGCACAAGCGGCGGAGCAUGUGGAUUAAUUCG
rnacentral:rRNA from 1 species